rnacentral:rRNA from 1 species
AUUGAACGCUGGCGGCAGGCCUAACACAUGCAAGUCGAGCGGAUGAAGGGAGCUUGCUCCUGGAUUCAGCGGCGGACGGGUGAGUAAUGCCUAGGAAUCUGCCUGGUAGUGGGGGAUAACGUCCGGAAACGGGCGCUAAUACCGCAUGCGUCCUGAGGGAGGAAGUGGGGGAUCUUCGGACCUCACGCUAUCAGAUGAGCCUAGGUCGGAUUAGCUAGUUGGUGGGGUAAAGGCCUACCAAGGCGACGAUCCGUAACUGGUCUGAGAGGAUGAUCAGUCACACUGGAACUGAGACACGGUCCAGACUCCUACGGGAGGCAGCAGUGGGGAAUAUUGGACAAUGGGCGAAAGCCUGAUCCAGCCAUGCCGCGUGUGUGAAGAAGGUCUUCGGAUUGUAAAGCACUUUAAGUUGGGAGGAAGGGCAGUAAGUUAAUACCUUGCUGUUUUGACGUUACCAACAGAAUAAGCACCGGCUAACUUCGUG